GGCCGCGUGGCGGAGUGGUUACGCAACGGUCUGCAAAACCGUUUACACCGGUUCAAUUCCGGUCGCGGCCUCAA
rnacentral:tRNA from 5 species